GUACACGCUGUGACUAGCAUAUCAAUAAGCGGAGGAAAAGAAACUAACAAGGAUUCCCUUAGUAACGGCGAGUGAAGCGGGAGAAGAGCUCAAAUUUGAAAUCUUGAAGGGUUUCCCUUUACGAAUUGUAGUUUAAAGAAGUGUUUUCUGUUGAGGUUUUGGUAAAAGUUCUUUGGAAUAGGACAUCAUAGAGGGUGAGAAUCCCGUAUUUGACCUUUACUUUCAACUUUGUGAUACACUUUCAAAGAGUCGGAUUGUUUGGGAAUGCAGUCCAAAAUGGGGUGGUAAAUUUCAUCUAAAGCUAAAUAUUGGCGAGAGACCGAUAGCGAACAAGUACCGUGAGGGAAAGAUGAAAAGAACUUUGAAAAGAGAGUUAAACAGUACGUGAAAUUGUCAAAAGGGAAGCGUUUGACACCAGUGUUGUUUUCUCGGAAAUCAAUUAAAAAUGGCUCGAUUUUGUAUUGUUGAGACCUUAAAAGCUCACUGUACAUUUUCUCGUGUCUUUUUUAAUGCACUUUUUCAGUUUAACAAGUCAACAUCAGUUUCUUUUGUCUGUAAAAAAGGGUCAUUGAGGAAGGUGGCUUGAGAUUCGUCUUAAGUGUUUAUAGCCUCUUGCCUAUGCAGUCGGAGAGGUUGAGGUCUGCAGCGUAGAUCCUUCGGGGCUAAAUGCAUUUGUGCUAAGUUAUAGCAUUUUAUAGACAACUUGUUGACUAUGAUUUGUCUUGUAGCUUACUCGCUUAUGUUAUUUUACCUACGCUUAGGAUGUUGAGCGCAUGUCUCUCUCU
rnacentral:rRNA from 1 species